GGAAGAAAGAAGGCAGGCCAAGCUAACCCAGUUCUCCAGCACACAUUCAAAGGCAAGAGGAGUCUAAAAUAUCCUUGGUCUUCCCCACCCCACCCACAGUGUGUAAGUACAAUCAUAGCACCAAGUAUGUCUUUCUUUAUACUUGACCCAGCUGUCUCCCAGUGGUGCAGUGAGAGCUACCUAAGGAGGUACUUUGGUGCUUUGGAGAAAUGUAGAUCUGGAUUCAGCUCCCUGCUUGACUAUUUAAGAGUUGUGUGGCCUUGGGCAAAUUACUCAUCUCUAAGCCUUUGAUUUCUCCAUGGUAAAAGGAGAUAAUGAUAGUGUGUAAGGCUUUGAAAUGGUAAUCAAUCAUUUGUGGUACAUGUUCAGACAAUGCUCACUCUUACUAUUACUCCCAAUCCACAGCCCAGAAGGGUGGGCAGAUAAGUAGCUAACCGAGGGGAGGCUGGGGCAGUUGACACCUGCUGUUCUGAGUUUCCCUUGCCUGCUCCCUAGUGCUGGCCAAAGACCCUGGCUGGAGAAGCAGGGAAUCAGCCCUGGGCUGCCACGGUAAGGCCAAGGGUUAGAAGAUGGAGGCCUGGCUAACCAGGCCUAGGCUCUGCUCAACCCAGGAGGGUUCCAAACACCACAUUUGGAACUUCACCCUGUGACUUAGAGGUGGGAAUCUAUGUAUUUCCUAAUAACUCUGUUUCAAAGCAAGUUUACUUCUGACUGAGACAAACGUGGGUGUGGUGGGUUCCUUGUAUUCAAAACGAAACAAAAGAAAAGAAAACAAAGAGCACCCCCUCCCCCAAGCCCGGAAGGCCUGUAGACCUUUUCCCAGGCAAAAUGUGCGAAAAGAGGAGGGAGCGCCUUUGUGGGUGCUGUCCUGAUUUAGAGCUUAGGAGCACAGCCCUCUCCAGCCCUCCUCAAGUCUGAGGUUCCAAGCUGUUAAAAGCACUGGGGUCCCAGGGGCGGGGUGGAUGAGAUUUGUUCAGCCCAUCCCCAGUCUCAGCGGCUUGCUCAGCCGGUCCCGCGCAGGGGAGGACCAGAGCACCGCUGGGUUGGACGCACCCCACCCGGGGAAGCACCCGCUCUCCCUGCCGGAAUCCCUGGAAUGUCGCCGGUCCAGGAAGUGUCUAUCCGGGCUCUAUGCAGAGGGAGGGGUUAAAACCUGGAAUUUCUCGGGGUGCUUUUGCACAUAUUCCCCUCAAGCUUUUCAGCCCCAUGAAGUUGAAGCUCACGGGGGUGAGAAGGAAGCCGCCUACUUCUUCCCCUGGCCGACUUUGUCUCAGGAAGGUUCGCAAUCCCUGCUCUUGCCAAAAUAA
rnacentral:lncRNA from 1 species